UUUACAGUCUUUAACAGCAUGUCACACUCCCUUCCAAGUUUAAGCACUUGCAUAAAUUGCAUUCCUUCACUCACAAAUUGCUUUUUGAGUAGCAAAUUGUCACCAACCAGUUGAGAUAUAAAAUAAUUAGUAAUUACCUUGUACUAGUAAGUUGAGAUCUAGAAAACCCCUAAUUUUUUUCCUUAAGAAAGAUUAGUUAGUACUGGGAUGAAAUGGGCCUGAAUAUUGAGCCAUAGUUAAUUGAUUGAUUAAUAGAUAGCUUUUUGGAUGCAUUUCACAUGUAUACAAGUAUUUUUUUUAAAAUGUUGUUAUCUUUUGAGGUUAAAAAUUCCCAGCUAUGCAUUUUUAUUUCAUACCUUAGUUGCCUUUUUGUUUUAGUAAAUCUGUGAAAUAACCUAUGCAAGUAGUAUGAGGAAAUGGAAGAAAAUUGGAAAUUGUAUUAUUAUGCAUAAUUGCAUAUAGGAGACAUUUCCUAUGUUGGUCCACAAUUAGCCAGUCUUCAUUCUUCCAUGAAGUGGCUAUAUUUGCUAUAACUUUGCCUCGGACAUAGACAAUGAACACCUGUGGCUCAGUCUGCAGUUCAUCUGUAUUUUCAUGAUAUAUGAACUUUGAGUCCUAUGCUUGCUUGGAAUAAUAUGUUGUAGAUUUUACUAGCUGCUCAUUUUAUUGGUUGAUAUACAAUAUUUAAGAAAGUGGAUAACUUUGUACUUGCAUAUCGUACUUCACUGAUAUUAUAGAGAUGCAGAUGCUUGUACCCUUCAUAUGGAGUGAGAAUUGCCAUUCUUUCAAUUCCAUAGACUAAAUGGGUUAAUGAAGCAGGACAAUAUAAACCUCCGUCCCGGAACAAAGUUAAUGCUCAUUACUGUUUAGAUAUGGUUUCCACCUAUGUUGCUCGGACUCGUGCGGGUACCCAAUACGGGUGCCGAUCUAGAGAUCUGCAAAGAUAAGGAAGAGGCAGAAGUCUGGUUUGUUGCUCUCAGGGCUUUGAUAUCUUGGGUUAACUGUCAAAAGUGGACAAGCGAUAUAAGACAUGAUGCCACAUCUUCUGAAGGUUCAACUACUGUGACACAACGAAGUUCUCACUCCGCUUUGUCAAGUAGUAGUGGAAGCAGCAGUACACCCUAUGAGGAUCCAAAGAAAAAUCAAUUGGUUUCAGUUCCAUCUCAGAGUCCCCCAAAAAAGAGAUUAGAAAGAGCAUUCUCUGACUUUUUACUCUAUAAUGCAGCCGCACAAUGUUCUUCCCAAAGAGAGUUUGCCGCUUGUUCCCUCGACUCAAGAUCAUACGGAACCUUAGAUGAUGAAAAUGGGCGGAGCUCUGCGGAUACUAUCCGAUUUAGUUUCUCUAGUGCCAUUAGUUCAUCUAGCCAGGGAUCUUCUUCCGCAAAUAUUGAUACCCUUUGUGACAUUUUAAUAUGGGGAGAAGGAAUUGGUGAUGGCCUGCUUGGUGGUGGGAUAUGUGGACGUGGAAACUUUGAAGCUGUAAGAAGGGAUUCACCUUUGCCUAAGAUCUUGGAAUCAGCUUUACUACUUGAUGCUCAAUAUAUUGCUUGUGGAAGCACACAUGCUGUACUAAUCACAAAGCAAGGAGAGAUCCUUAGUUGGGGAGAGGGGUCAGGUGGCAGACUAGGGCAUGGAGUAGAAUCUGAUGUUUCUAGCCCAAAACUUAUUGACACUCUCUGUGGGUUGAAUGUUACAUCAGCAGCAUGCGGAGAUUAUCAUACUUGUGCCACAACAAUCAGUGGAGAUCUCUAUACAUGGGGUGAGGGUACCUUUAACUUUGGCCUCCUUGGGCAUGAUACUGGAAUCAGUCACUGGACCCCCAAAAAAGUAAAGGGUCCUUUGGUUGGUAAGCAUGUCUCAUAUGUCUCUUGUGGUCCUUGGCAUUCGGCUGCUAUAACAUCAGUUGGCCAACUUUUUACUUUUGGUGAUGGAACUUUUGGUGCUCUAGGUCAUGGGGAUCGUAGUAGCACUAGCAUUCCUAGGGAAGUUGAAACUCUACAAGGACGAAGAACAGCUACAGUGUCCUGUGGGCACUGGCACACUGCAGCCGUGGUAGAGCUCUCUUUUGAGGAUUCUGGUUCUAGUAACUCCCCACCUCGGAAGCUUUUCACCUGGGGAAAUGGCGAUGAUGGACAACUUGGACAUGGAGAUAAUGCUUCUAGACUCGCUCCAUGCAACAUUUUACAGUUAGAUGACAUUAACUUCUGUAGAGUAGUCUGUGGCCAUAGCAUUACAGUUGCUCUGACAACAUCAGGACAAGUAUAUACAAUGGGGAAAGCUGAUUAUGGGCAACUAGGAAUUCCUGGAAGCAAUGGAAAGUUCCCUUCUCGUGUUCAAGGAAAAAUUACAAAUUGUUUCAUCGAAGAAAUAGCUUGUGGCUCUUUCCAUGUUGUGGCCUUGAGCUCAAACUCUCAGCUUUACACGUGGGGAAAAGGAGGAAAUGGUCAGCUAGGACAUGGGGACAAUCGUGAUAGGAACACUCCUACACUGGUUGAAGCGCUGAAAGCAAAACAAAUAAAGCAUGUGGUCUGUGGAAAUAAUUUUACUGCUGCCAUUUGUCUACACAGAGAAGUGUCUGUUGCUAAUAAUUCCAUUUGUGCUGGAUGCCAGAGUCCAUUUAAUCUCAGACGAAAACGUCAUAACUGCUACAACUGUGGGCUUGUCUUUUGCAAAGUGUGCACCAGUAAAAGAUCUGUAAAAGCUUCUUUGGCUCCAAAAAUGAACAAACCUUAUCGUGUGUGUGAAGAUUGUUUUGCUAAAUUGAACAAGGGCUUGGAGACUGGAUUGACGUGUCUACCACCGAAGGCCACCAAUGGAAGCUUACAGAAGAAUACCGGAGAGAAGGUGAAAGAGACCUUGCCUUCCAAACAAAAAGGCCUUCUGUCUAGGCUGUCCUCAUUCAAUUCAUUCAAGCAGUCUGACAAUCAACAUCCUAAAAAGAACCAGAAGCAAGAUUCAAACUCUGACCAUGUCUCUCCAGUUUCCAAUGGCAAUACUCAGUGUGAAUUAUCUCAAACAUCAAGCCCAUUGAUGUCUUUUUCUGAUUGCCCUGAGAAAUUGUCUGUUUCUUUUGUUGGAUCAACAAGUCAUUCUCAAGCUGGCUCUCCUGCUUCUUUGGAAUCAAGUUCAUCUUAUUCUGUGUCACUGAGAUCUGCUAUUGCUGCACAAGCAUAUCACGAAGUGGAUCUUGAUGAUUCAAAGCAAACAAGUGAAAGUCUGAAAAAAGAAAUUUCAAUAUUGAAGGAGCAGGUAGAGAUUCUCACCCAGAGAUCUGUUUUCUUAGAGGCUGAGCUUGAGAAGAAAUCAAGGCAACUUCAAGAGAAAACUGAACAAGCUAGAACCGAAACAGAGAAAAACAAUGCUGCAAAGGAAGUCAUCAAAACUCUAAUGAUGCAGGUAAAGGGCACCACUGCAAAAGCACCUCGGGAUGCUUCUGCAGAACAUCUGAUCUCACUGAUGACACCUACAAUGCCUUGAACCUUGUUUCUGGAAGGAGUAAAGCAACCAGCUAGGAUUUCAUCACUCCUAUUCUUUUUGCAGUUAUCUGCAGACCACUGAAGAUUUAUGCUGUAAAUAUCAUCAAUGUCUCGGAAAGCGUAUCAGUCGUGAAAAUAUGAGAUGCACGCCACUGAUUCAAGGAAGGAGUCUUAUUACCCGUACAACUAAUGUGAUCCUAAAGAAGCUAUCUCUCUAUCAGAAAGUGUACAUUCAAUUUUGCAUAUAGAGUGAAACUCAUAUCCUUCGUACACAUUAGGAUGAACGGACUGCUGCUGUUUCUAUGAAUAAGUGAAAGGAAAAUGAAAAUCGCGAUAGUAAUCAAACAGUCUGAUACGUACUUCCUCGUUUGAAUACAUCCAGCUAUCUCUUGUUUCCCACCUCCCGCUCCUUCAUGCCAUUCUCCUCCCAGUUUUGUAAAAAAAGUACGAGGAUAUUUCAACACUAACGAGUAUUUUGAUCAAAUGUAUGAAAAGAAUUUAAUCCAGUAGAUUUCACUGUUUAUCGUGUUGUUUACCCGUGCGCUUCAUUUAGCCGUCAGCAUCUCCGAGUCUAGUUCCCAGCUUAAAAUGGUUGUACUUUUCAC